rnacentral:other from 1 species
CUACCCCUGCGGCGUUCGUGAUGAUAUAGGAAAAUUGGAGCCAACACUCCAAGACCGGGGGAUGAUACUUUGUAUGGUGUGCAAACCUGCCUUGAGCAGGGAGCCUAAAGUACUCGUGAUUCCUCCGCCCUUAUAAAAGGGCUACAAUUGGACUAUAUCGACGGCGUCUGCGGGGGUUUU